AAAUCCAUAACCCUAAAUUUAUGAAAGAUGAAUCCUGAUCUAAAAUCCAUGAACCCUGAAUUUGUUGUAGGCAUAUCCUAAAAAGCCCAAGUUUAAAUGACCGGCACUAUUUGUCAUAUGAGAAAAGAAAACAGACUCAUUAGAAUCUAUACUCUUUCCUCCUUUAUUUUCACUAUCAGAGAGAAAAAGAUCCAGAUCUCCAACUACUAACCAGGGGAUUUCGACUGUCCUAGCUAAUUCUCCAAAAUAAUUCCAACUCACAUGUUUUUUAACCCUAUAAGGACAUCCAUAAAUCGCAGAUAGCAUCCAAUCCAGUUUCCUAUUUUUAUCACAUCGAUUUGAUUAUCAGAGGUGUGAAGAAUUUGGAGAUCAAUCUUAGAAGACCAAGAAAGCACCAUUCCUCUAGUUGUUCCAAUAAAUCCAGUUGGGUUCACAACAAUCAUAUCCAGCUUUUGAGGGCAGCCAUCAUGAACGUUUCUUUGCUAGCCUCCAAUACUCCAACAGUUUGAGGCAGGGGAAAGGAUGGACUGAGGAUAUCAUGCAUAAAGGGACAAGGAGAUGAAUAGGAAUGAGGAGAAGGUUUGUGUGGAGGGUUUUGAGAUGGUGUGCUGAUUAAUGGCCUUUUUUGGGCUGGUUUUGGCUGAGAAAAAUGGACUAAUUCCUGAGAGGCAGGGUUCUCAGUGUUUAGCUUGGAUAUAUGAGGUACUUUUACUUUUCCCAUGAGAUGGUGGGAGAAUUUUAAGAGAGGUUUUAGCUCAAAAUUCAUUUCAAUUACCUUUUCCUUUUGCUUAUGUUGUUCUUUGACUGUUUCAGAAAUUAUUGCCUUCAUCAAUCUUUUUUCAAAAUUUCUUUUUAGAAUCUUGCUUGAAAGUCUCAUUGGAUGCUUUGUUACCCUUGAUUUAGACAAGAUUUUCUUACCCUUGACCAAUUUAUCACCUUUCUUGAUACCCUUCAGAAUCUUUGGUAGCCCAUUCACCUGAGCCUUCAUGGGAUCCAAGUCUGCUGCUGAAACUAGCUCAAGAUUUUGUUGUUGAGCUGACAUCACACCCGUUUUUGUGGUUCCUAUGGUGUGCCUACCUUUGGAAAAUUCCUCAAACUCAUAGCUUUUCUUUCCUGUUUUAUUAUCCAAGACCAAAGUAGUUCUUCAUUUCGCUCCUAAACAGAAAGUAAUAUUUUCCCUACUUCCUCUUCUCAUGUGUUUGCAAUUGUUACUGUGGUGUUGCAUUUGUUUGCCCCCGUAUUAUUUUGAUGUUGAUUCUUUUGGUGUGAGUACUCUUGGUUUAAAGUUUUCAAAACUUGGAGGAGGAUCUGAAAAGCAUUCUUGAUUUUGGAUUUUGAAUAAGGAAGUUGCAUUUGUAUCAAAAUAAACUUUUGCUGGGGGACCAUGCACAAAACUGAAACUACAUAGUUCUUUCUCU